UCUCUUUAAUAAUGCCAUACACAGGUCUGCUAUACGAUUUGUCCCCAGUAUAUACCCUCUGUUUAAUAUACAAAAUAGAAUAAUGACACAUUGCUGACUCUAGGUGUUAUUGGGGGGGGGGGGAGGGGUUAGUUUGGAGGGGGACAGGGGAGAUAUAUAUAUGUUUUUUGUUGGUUUUGUUUUUUUUCAUACACACAGCCUUGUUUUUUUUUUUUUAAAUCCUCAGGGAAUGAGGAGUUUGGGGGGGGGCAAGAAAGGCCCUGACCCCCAUCCUGAAAAGUUUGGUUCCUAUGUUAAGAUGGAUGGCUCAGCAACACCUGGUUGCAGACUGGACCAAGGAUGGAGCAUCUCCAUCGCUUGCUUACAACCUGGCUCUAGGGUCCAAGCCUGAAGUCCUCGCUCGCUGUAGGUGGGACACAGGAUUUGGCUGACGUUCAUCCAGGCACUUCCUCCUCUUUGCUACCUUUCUCUUCUCAGAACGGUAAGGUCAUUUCUCAGCUUCGGUUGGCACCUUCUCCCCACCCCAUCCCUCCCUCACCUCCUAACCCCCCCCCCGGCCGCCGCUGGGGCCACGCCCGGGCAGCUCCCUCCCUCUCCAUCCCCACUCCCACCUAAGGCUAUUCCCAGCGCCGGUCCCCGCGGGCGCAGGGCAGCUGCGGCGCGGCCGUUCCUCGGAUGCAUGCACUUUGUGAUAAGGCACUAAGAGACCAAGUCAGAAUUCUCCCUGCUUUAUCCAGAGUGCAGAUUCUACCCACUGCUACAAGGACUAAGGACACACACACACACGGACUUCUCACUGCCUACAGAAGCACCAGGGGUGGGGAACGGGGGAGCUGAAACUCAACAGCACGCACAGGACGAUUGCUUCCUUCUAGCAUCAGAGUCUCCUCUUGGUUUUCCUUAAAUCCACGAACUAAAACUGAAUCUACAGGCAAACAGACAACACGGGGUAGAGAGCCUCUCCUGUGCUGCCAGGGCGGUGAGGGCUUGUGCUCACUGCAGUCACUUCUCUGCUGGCCAAGAAGGCGAGUUCUGGAUCUGAGCGCGCUUGGACACCUGCAGGUACCCACACCCCCACCCACUCCUCCACGCAGUAGGAGCAGGGAAUCACUAAGGUUGGAGAAGUCAUUUAAGAUCAUCAAGUCCAACCAUAACCCAGCUGCCAUGCCCACUAGACCAUAACCUGACACCCCCAUGUAUCUGGGGAUGCAACUCUUAGAACCACCCUCUCGAAGCAAACUCAGUUUUCCUCCUGUGAGCAGAUGGGACCAAACUCCUGUCUGCACCUCCAAGGGGUCACCUUCCACUAGACUGGGCUGGACAGGGCCUUGAGGCCCAGUGGGGUAGUGAGGCACUGGAACAGUUUGCCCAGAGACGUUGUGGAGGCUCCAAGCCUGGAAGCCUUCAAAGGGAGGCUGAGUGAGGCCUCGAGUAAGGUUGUCUUGCAGAUGUCCCUGACCAUGGCAGGGAUUGGAACUGGAUGAUCAUUAAGGUCCCUUCCAAACCAAACCAUUCUGUGAUUCUGUGCUUUGGUGCUUUCAUUGAAUGAAGCUGAGAGCUGGAAUUAAACCCUGAGCUCCACCUUGUCCUUUACAGGUCAGGGAGAGGAGAAUGAUUCCUCCUUGUUAUUAAAGCUAUUUGACUCCAAAGCACUCAGGAUGGGAACCUUCCUUCUUAAAAGCUGUAACACUCAAAAAGAGAUUUAGGGAAGGGUUGAAGUUUAGUCUGCCAUUUGGAAACAACCUUUUGCUGAGGACAGGAAGGUCCCAGUGUACAGUGCCAGCUCAUGCUCUGCCUUUACAGAUCACAGAAUCCCAGAGUGCCUGCUUGGAAGGGGCCCCAAGGACCAUCUGGCCCAACCUUUCUAGUUAAGAGGAUAGUUGAACUGAGCUGGACCAGCACCCUGUCAAGCUGAGCCUUAAAGCUGUCCAGCAUAGAGGACUUCACCACUUCCCUUGGGAGAUGAUCCUAACAGAACCAUAGCAUGGUUUGGGCUGGAAGGGACCUCCAGAGGUCACCUAUUUGGGCACCAAAUGUCCAACUGCUCUCAUGGAGGAACAUUUUCUGCUGGAGCCCGAUAGGGAUCUCUCCAGCACUAACAUCCACCUCACCCCUUGUCUUUUCCACAGGAUUCCCUGUACAAAAGGAGUCUCCGUGCUCCUGAGAGCCACCCAUGGCAAUGAGGUCUCCCCUAAGCCUUCCCCAGCUCCCUCAGCCUCUCCUCACAUGGCAGGGCUUCCAGUCACAUUGCUGGGAGCCGCUUGCAUGCUACUGCCAGAUUUCCACAGCUGCUUCUGCUGUGCUGGGGGUGGGGGUAGGGCUGUGAAGCCAGGCCCGGGGUGGCAGUGGGUGGCAGGAGGAGGUGUGCAUGCCACACGCGUCUCCCUGGUCACCUUUUUGGCAGCAGAGGUUGUGAUUCAGCAGUGACUCCUGAAGGGGAACCAUCCGGGUGGGACUAUCCCAUCCCGGCUCCAACUUCUUUUCGCGGUUGUUUGUUUCCACAGUGAUUAAGCACAAAGCCAACCCCACCGAGCCCCCUGGGCACAGGUUCUCCUCUCUCUCUGCACUGAGCACUUCUUUGGGUACUGGACACCGACGCCUUCAUCAGCGCUGCCUCCAGGCGAAAAAACAAAGCACGACGUGAGACCGUUCAGCCUAUUUGUGACCCCUACAAAAAAUAGAACUACAUCUGCAGUAGCCCUUCCCUUCUCGUCUCGGAUCAGCGGAGAACACCGAUUAUACACAUUGGAAACUCUAACUAAAUACAAAAAUAUAUUAGCUUUUGUAUUUUUUCUCAGAGGAUCUUUCUCAUUAUGUCUAUUAUUACACAAAGGAUGUGGCCACUUGGGAGUAAAAAUCAAGGUUGGUUGGUUUUUUUUUUUUGCCUUUUUUCUCUGUGUUUUUGUUUUUAGAGUGGCAUUAAGUAAAUAGCUCAAUUUCCAGGUACAGAAAAUCGUUAAGGUGCAGGUAGAAAAGGCUACUACAGCUUCUAAACAGUUUAAAAGACAGUUCUUGAUGGCAACCAGGAGAAGUUCACAAGAGCUAUGGGAACCUUAUGGCACGCUGGGAAUCGUGUGAGGGGAUGCAGCCUUACAAAGACAGAAAGUUCAACGUACGACGCUAAGACCACGCAAAUCAGUAGCGGCUCUUUCCUGCUCUCCAGGAAAGCUGGAGAAGGGGGGGGUUGAAGCAGCUGGUGGCAGGUGGAGAUGUGAAAAUGGGUCUCUAACCCCACAGUGGUGGGGAGCUGGUGGGUCCAGCGUGAGAGUCAGUCAGCUCCUGAGCUGCUGGGUGCAGUGCUGAGAGGACUCAGCCAACUCCUGAGCUGCUGGGUCCAGCUUGAGAGGACUCAGCCAGCCCCUGAGCCGCUGGGUCCAGCAUUGAGAGUCAGCCAGCUCCUGCUUCCCUGCCCAUGGCCACGGUGAACACCUCGCCGAGGAGAAGACUUCUUAGGAGCAAUAGGAGAGAACAGAAGAAAACCAAAGCCCCUGGGCGUCAUGACAGGUCUGCCUCUGAACUCCAUGGCAUAUUGUUGUUGUUUUUUUUUUGUCGAGACUCGCAGGAUGAGAGAGUUGAGCGUAUAGAAAAUUCCACACAGAAGUAAACUUUUCUGAAGCUCUGCAUAUUUUCCUGAAAAUUUCCUGAUGGGCAGUCAGGACUGAUCUUCUUGGCAGCAGUGCAGCCCAUGACUCGUAGCGUUAUGGCUGUUGCAUUCUCCGCGCAAAGCAAGCGUCAGGCGCGCGCCGCUUGGCCUCCGCGUACAAAAGAACCUGCUCGGUUACAUCCAGCGAGGACUGGGUGAAUCUGCAUAUCCCAAUGCUCUUUGCACCUAUACCAGAAGUAUCUUGUGUGUUUUGUUUUGUUCACGUCUGUCUAGGUUAGAUUGUUGAGAAGUGUUCUCUCACUCACCCUGGCCCUCGGUAUAAAAAAAGUAAUAUAACCAAACAAAUCCCCCAAAACACCUCACCUGUUAUGGUCACUUUGGGACAGUUCAAAGCUCUUUUAGGUCAGAAAAGCCCAACCCAUUUUCACAUGAAUACAGAACUCAAGGAUUACUCUCUAGAGGUCACUGAGGAAAGCUAGGAGCUGCCCCACCUUAAAAAAAAAAACCAACAAACCAAACCAAAACCAAGACUAAAAGAACCCAAACCAAACCCCAAACCAGCUGUACAAGAGGCAUCUUGAAGUAGUAAAAAAAAAAAGAUGUAAUUAAAAAAAAAACCAAAACCCAAACAACUGAACCAAGCCUAGGUUCAGGGUAUAUAAAGGAAAUUGCUAAAACCAGACAGUAAUAGCUAUAAAAGGCACAACUUCCCUUUUCUGAUAUACACUUGUAAACUUUCUUCAGGUUACAUGCAUAAACCAAAAUGCUACCUUAACUUUGGAGAGGAAAAAUAAUCAAUCCCAAACACUUUGCUAAAAAAAAAAACAACCAAACCACAAUCCAAACAACCAAAUAAAAAAAAAUCCCAACCCCCCAAAUAACCCCAAACAACAACCACGACCCCCCCAAAACCUCCCAAAAUAACAAAAAGCCCAAACAAUGAAAAAAAAAAACCAACCCAGACACCAACAAAAAUAAUCAGCCCCACUAAGAAUAAAGGACCCCCAAAAAAGUGGAGGAAAAAACCCUCUAGUAACAAAACCCUCCAAAAAACAGACUCCAAUCUAUAAAAAUAACCCCCAAAACAACAAAAACAUUCCCAAAUAACAGAAGAAACCCCAAAGGACUUAAAAAAAACCCCAAAAUAAUAAAAGAACUAAAAAUAAGUUAAAAAAACCCCAAAAUAACAAUCCCUCAAUAACUAAUUAAAAAAACCCUCCAAAAUAACAAAAAACUCCCAAAAUAACAAAAAAAACCCACCAAAGUAGCUACCCCCUUCCCAAAUAACACAAAACCCCACCCCCAAAGUAACAAAAAGACACCAAAAUAACAAAAAACUUCAAAUAACUAAAAAAAAAACACCUAAAUAAUAAAAAACUCCCAAAAAAGCUAAAAAACUCCAAAAUAACACAAAAAAAAUCAACCCCAAAAGAAGAAAGAUACCUAAAUAAAAAACCUGCCAAGUAGCUUAAAAAAAAACCCAAAAUAACUAAAAAAUCCCCAAAUAACAAUGAAGCCAACCCCAAAAUAGCUAAAAACCCUACAAAUAAUACAAAACCCCAACCCCAACAUAACAAAAAGACACCAAGGUAACAAAAAACCCCAAGUAACUACAGCAAAAAUAAUCCCCAAAUAACAAAAAACUCCCAAAAUGGCUAAAAAACCCCAAAAUAACACAAAAAAAAAUCAACCCCAAAAUAACAAAAAGACACCAAAAUAACAACUCCCCUCAAUAUCUUGAAAAAAAAAAAUCUCCAAAAUACCUAAAAAUCUCCAAAUAACAAAGAACCCAACCCCAAAAUAACUAAAAACCCUCCAAGUAACAUAAAAAACUAACCCCCAAAUAACAAAAAGACACCAAGGUACCACAAAAAUCCCAAGUAACUGCAACAAAACCAAUCCCCAAAUAACAAAAAAACUCCCCAAAUGGCUAAAAAUCCCCGAAAUAACACAAAAAAUCAACC